rnacentral:rRNA from 1 species
UGGGGAAUAUUGCUUAAUGGGCGAAAGCCUGAAGCAGCAACGCCGCGUGGACGAAGAAGGCCUUCGGGUUGUAAAGUUCUUUUAUAUGGGAUGAGGAAGGACAGUACCAUAUGAAUAAGUCUCGGCUAACUACGUGCCAGCAGCCGCGGUAAAACGUAGGAGACGAGCGUUAUCCGGAUUUACUGGGCGUAAAGAGCGUGUAGGAGGCAAUACAAGUUGGAUGUAAAAGCUCCCGGCUUAACUGGGAGAGGUCGUUCAAGACUGUAGAGCUAGAGUAAGGCAGAGGUAGAUGGAACUCCGGGAGUAGUGGUGAAAUGCGUAGAUAUCCGGAAGAACACCAGAGGCGAAAGCGAUCUACUUGACCUUAACUGACACUGAGACGCGAAAGCCAGGGUAGCAAACG